GGGAAAUGUAGUUACUGCGUGGGCUGCAGUUUAAGAGCAGAACGCUGAGGGAGGGAAGGGGGCAUUUUCUGCUCAUUAUCUGUUACAGGGCUCGUCACCAUGAGUUAUAUACAUUUAUAACCUGCUGAUUAUUAAUGCAGUAAUGUUACAGUUAGAUAACUCUGUGUGCAGAUUUUGCCGUGGUGCAGUCCUGGUAGCCAAGCCUUCGGCUCCCCCGCCAUGAGAAGCCUCGUGUGCUGCUGUGCGGAAAUAAAAUACCACAACUUAAUUCUCGUAAUAUUACGCCUGUAUUCUCGUAAUAUUACAACGUUAAUCUCGUAAUAUUGCGUAAUAUGGCCGUCGUACCUAAAGUAGCCAAAAGGUAUGUAAAAUAGAUAAAGGUAAAGUUCAGUUAUGCUUUGGUGAGUGGGAUGAGGUUACGGGGUACCUCCCUGAAAUUAUUUUUUGCAACUUGGGAUGUGUGAGAUGGAAACCACAAAUAACAUGUCCACACAGGGCCCGUAUGGGAACCGGAAUGUUUUGUCCACCUUGGCUCCAAAUAGGGCUGUGAUGACGAUGAUGAUGUACCACAUCAGGGUCAGUGAUGGGACCAGUAAUGUAAAAUAUUUUACACUGCACAUCAGGCCCGGAGAGGACCCAUGUGAGAUUAAGCAAGGAAUUAAGACACAGAGUGAAUGA
rnacentral:lncRNA from 1 species